rnacentral:rRNA from 1 species
CCAAGGAGUCUGACACGUACGCGAGUCAUUGGGUGCUUCAAAACCUAAAGGCGCAAUGAAAGUGAAGGCAGCCUCCGGUUUGCCCAGGUAGGAUCUUCGCUCCACGUGGGCGGGGCGCACUACCGGCCCGUCGCGUCUGCAUCGCAGUGCGGCGGAGCAAGAGCGCACGCGUCGGGACCCGAAAGAUGGUGAACUAUGCCUGAGUAGGACGAAGCCAGAGGAAACUCUGGUGGAAGUCCGCAGCGGUUCUGACGUGCAAAUCGAUCGUCNAACUUGGGUAUAGGGNCGAANGACUAAUC